rnacentral:rRNA from 1 species
UUUUAUGGUCUAAAUUCCUGAAAAGCACCAGAUUCCAUCUGUUCUUGGAAGCUAAGCAGGGCCAACCUUGGUGAGUACUUGAAUGGGAGACUGCCAAGGAAUACCAGGUGCUAUGUUAG